AAGAGGAACGAGAUAGACGGUGUUUAGUCAUAGGUAAGCAACAUAAAAUGAAUAGUCUGACAUUUUAUAAAAUUGUACUUUUUUGCUUUGUAAUAAGGAAUUAAAUUAUAAGAUUGAUGUGAUUCUCCACAUCUCUACUGCAAAUAUAACUUGCCAGUCAGUCAGCUGAUUAGCUUAGCUUAGCUUAAAGACUAUAUAUACACACAAUCCUAAUUAGGUGUGACAAGUUGCGGUUUUGUGGUAGGUUAAACUUGCUGGGCUACUUCUUGGCUGAACACAUUGCUUGUACUAAUCUUUAGGGAUGUUAGUCAGGUCAUUUUAUUUGAUUUAUCUAUUAUUUCCUUUGGACAAAUCCAGGCUAGUUAUUUCCGAGUGGAACCCUACAGGCCUGAGAAACGAACCAUGCAAUGAAGUACUAAAAACUGUAGUUCCUCAAAUGUCCACUUGAGGCUAAAUCAAUUCCCAUAGACAACCAUAUAAAAAAUGGCCAACAUAACAGCACACAUAGACAUGUUUACAGCCUGGUGCAAUGACUCUUUUGGUCUCUAUAGCUAAUGUUUGAUCAAUUUCUGCCACUGCCAACAUUAAAUAGCAACCACAUUGAUCUGUCAUCUCAUUUCUCAGUUUGUACAUCCUCAGCUGUUUUUUCUUGUUUUUUAGUUCUUCCCGAUAGAGAUGCAAGUGGAGGAAGCAAGCAGGACCCACGAGAAGAGAGGAAUCAAGGCAGCAGGCAUUUAACUAAACUAGAUAUCCUUGUUUCAAAGUGAUAUAAUUUAAAGAUAUGACUGCAUCAUCUGUCCAUUGUUUGUUUGUGCCUACCGCUGUAUUUUAGGAUCUCUGUCAGAUGAUUGGAACAGUAUUCAUGACAACUUAGAGUAUAUGUUGACUGUUAAUGAAUGUAUGGCUGACACACAUUUUUAAAAAAAAAUUCAGACACAUUAUUAAUAGUGACAUUUACUGUGUACACUAAUUUGUCAGUUCUGCUCCGAACAUGGUUUUCUGUAUUUCAGCUGUUGUUGCAUUUUAGGAUUUGAGACAGAUUUCCUGAUCAAGCGCCAAGAUUGACUUCACAGACAGGAGGACAGAGAUGAAGAGGCUCAAAAUAGUCAUAUAAGAUAGGUCGUGUCUACAGAUACGGACCCGUACCCGUAGCCUACGGAUACGGGACUUUCCAUUUGACAGACAGAUACGGACCCAUACGCGAGUCUCGCAAGUCAAGAAGCUGCUAACCACUGCAAACUGUUGAAAGGUAAGCAAAGGUUAGGGUUAGGGUUAGGGUUAGGGUUUAGGGUCCGUACCUGUAGUACCGAUGCUACGGGUCCGUACCGCUAGCGUCUACCGGGAGUCACGUGACCAGAUCACGCGUGUCUGAUUGGCAAAUGGAAAGUGCCGUAUCUGUAGGCCACAGGCUACGGAUACGGGUCCGUACCUCUAGCAACAACCUAUAAGAUAAGCGUUAAGCUUCAAAAUUGUUGUUUAGGACACCUAUAGAUGCUCAUGUCACCAACGAUUCAUUCAUUUUAUAUAGAGUUGGUGGCUGUUUCCCACUCAUUGUUGUCUUUAUGCUAAACAGUUGCUGGUUGUAGUUUCAUAUCUUUAGUUUGUUACCUUCUCAAGGGAAUUUUUUAUUGACUUUUUUGCAUUUCCUAAAAUGCCAAACUUUUCUUUUUAGGAUAACAUGCUUAGCAGAAAUACUACAGAGUCUGAAAUUUCCUGACUGAAGAGAGCGUGGGUGUAGGAGCUACCAGUCUGGGUGCAGAGGAAUCCUUCACAGAGAGGAACGUUGUCACAGGUGUAGCGGGCUGGAACGAUGCAGGCCUCCUCCUCCCUGCCAUGGACGCUGCACGGCUCCCCUCCAAACUGAGAGGGCUGCUCCAGCUUAGCAUAGCGAUACUGGAUGGCCGAGGGGAGGGAGACAAGCAUAUGGAGGGUCACAGAAACACACAACCACUGUCAUUUAAAGGUGGCUUGGAAGCUGCUCCGGGGAACAAUAACAGCUGAAAUCACAUUAGAGGGCUGUUUUCACUUUGUCAUGUCAAGGUUAUUAAUUCCCCUCCUUGUAAAGUGGAUGAGAUAGAGCGCUGCAGUGUAUCAGCUGAGGCCUUUGCCAGCAGUGGAGCGCUUUGUCUCCCAGAAGAACAACUCACAGGGGUCAAAAUGCUGAAUGCUCCAGAAUAAUCUCUCAAUCCUACAGGAAUUUCUUUGCUCUAAUCUGACUUCAUCCAAAUGUAAUCUCAUUUAUGAUAAUAACCAAUGAUUUACAAUUGGUUAGAUUAAUUUAUCUGGUCAGUUUAGUGCAAUAUUAGCUAUAUAUUCAGUUCAUUACAGUCUCUAAAACCUUGUUUGGUGUGUAAUGAUUAAAUAUUCAUUUGAUUGUUAAGGUUGGCAUGGUGUCAUUUAAUAUAUAAUAAUAUAUUUAUGAGCUUUUUUUGGUUAAAUAAUUGAUGCCAAACUCGCCGCUCAUGUUUGCUAUAUUUAAUUCACUGUAUUUUCUAAAAUCAUAUUUAAGAAUGAUUGACAUUUUUGGAAAUAUAUUCAUUAGCUUUCUUGCUGAAAGAUGCUACCUUAGCUGUGCAAAAGGUCUGUUAAAUAAAAUCUAUUCGCUUGAUUGUUGAGUUAAGGUCAGUAGGGUUCAAAUAAAAAUGCUUGACAUUAGUGGAAAUAUACAUAUUUAAACAUUUUUGGUGAAAGAUAUAUGCUGACCUAGCUUCGCACAAAGACUGUUAACAUGUUCACUCUACAUUUUGUUUGAUGCCUUCUCUUGAACCGAUAUUGUUCUGCAAUUACUAUUUAUUUGCCUUUUUUUUUAAUUAAGUUACACUUGACAAAUUUUUAUUAAAAAAAUGAUAUUUUAUGAAACACAUUCAUUAUAUUUCUUCUCGAAAAAUUGAUGCUAACUUAGCUUCCCACAAACAUUGCUAACAUAUUAGCUGUAUAUUUAGUUCACUGCAGUUUCUAAAACCAAUAUUGUCUAGACUAUUUUUAUUUGGUUGACUGAUAAGAAAAGGCUGGCUGGUUUAAUUUUUAAAAGUUUGACAUUUUACAUAAUAUGUUUAUUUAGCUUUCUUGCUGAGAGAUAGACAUUAAGAUUGAUACCACUCUAAGACACCGACUAUAUGCUCCCAUGAACUAAUUUAUACAAAUUAAUGCAUGAACUAGCGCUAAUUUACAUAAAUUAAUUCAUGACUAGACUUUUUAUUGGACAUAAUGGAAGUGAAACCAAUAGAGCCAAAAUCUCAAAAUUAGCCAUUGCAUGAAAAAUGAUGUUGUUGCCUCUGGCACCUUGUCCACAAUACGUCAUUAAAACAUGUUAAAAGGAGAAUUUCAGGAUGUUAUUUGACAUUAUGGUGAAGCAAUGCUGUUUUUUUAGGUAAAAAGAAGCACUACAUCGGUUCAGGCUGAGCUCUGAAACCGUGCUUCCAUUAGUCAACUUGAAUCAGGUGUUUCAUCCAUGCUUCACAGUCAGCGGACUGAUAAUGUCCAAUCAUAUUGAUACAGGUUUAUUUAUGAGUUAUCGUUGUUUUUUUAUUCAAUAUCCAUGCACAUGUCUAUUAUGCCACUCUCAUUGCUACUUGCAGCCUUUUCCCACCACAUCAAGCUGGUUUACCUUCUGUGACUGAACCUGUAGUUUAACCAUUGCAAACCUCAGCAUUAACAGUCAGGCAUGGUUGGUCACUUCAAUUUAAAACAAAUUAUCAUGCAUGCUGAUGGGCUAACAAACAGACAACUGCUGUUCAUGAGUUAUUAAAGGACUUUUAGGUA